rnacentral:rRNA from 1 species
GUGAGGAAUUUUCCGCAAUGGGCGAAAGCCUGACGGAGCAAUGCCGCGUGAAGGAUGAAGGCCUAUGGGUUGUAAACUUCUUUUCUCAGAAAAGAAUUAUGACGGUAUCUGAGGAAUAAGCAUCGGCUAACUCUGUGCCAGCAGCCGCGGUAAGACAGAGGAUGCAAGCGUUAUCCGGAAUGAUUGGGCGUAAAGCGUCUGUAGGUUGUUUAAAAAGUAUUCUGUCAAAGAUUAGGGCUUAACCCUAGAUAGGCAGAAUAAACUUUUAAGCUAGAGUUUGGUAGAGGCAGAGGGAAUUCCCGGUGGAGCGGUGAAAUGCGUAGAUAUCGGGAGGAACACCAAAGGCGAAGGCACUCUGCUGGGCCAAUACUAACACUGAGGUGCGAAAGCAUGGGGAGCAAACAGGAUUAGAAACCCCUGUAGUCC